rnacentral:rRNA from 1 species
AUUGAACGCUGGCGGAAUGCUUUACACAUGCAAGUCGAACGGCAGCACGGACUUCGGUCUGGUGGCGAGUGGCGAACGGGUGAGUAAUAUAUCGGAACGUGCCCAGUCGUGGGGGAUAACGUAGCGAAAGCUACGCUAGUACCGCAUACGAUCUACGGAUGAAAGCGGGGGAUCGCAAGACCUCGCGCGAUUGGAGCGGCCGAUAUCAGAUUAGGUAGUUGGUGAGGUAAAGGCUCACCAAGCCGACGAGCUGUAGCUGGUCUGAGAGGACGACCAGCCACACUGUGACUGAGACACGGCCCAGACUCCUACGGGAGGCAGCAGUGGGGAAUUUUGGACAAUGGACGCAAGUCUGAUCCAGCCAUUCCGCGUGCAGGACGAAGGCCUUCGGGUUGUAAACUGCUUUUGUACAGAACGAAAAGGUCUCUAUUAAUACUAGGGGCUCAUGACGGUACUGUAAGAAUAAGCACCGGCUAACUACGUGCCAGCCGCCGCGGUAA